AAUAAAUGCUGUUGGUAUACUUUACACAUGCAAGUCGAAUGUGUUUUAAAUAACGCAUGGCGAACGGGUGAGUAACGCGUCAAUUAUCUACCCUUUAGUUCAGAAUAAUUAUUUUUAAUAAAAAUACUGAAUAUAAAAAAGUUUUUAAAAACGCUAGAGGAUGAGUUGGCGUAAGAUUAGGUAGUUGGUGAUUUAAAAGAUUACCAAGCCGAUAAUCUUUAGCUGGUUUGAAAGAAUGAUCAGCCACAUUGGGACUGAGACAAGGCCCAAACUUUUUUAAAGGCAGCAGUGUGGAAUUUUGGACAAUGAGCGAAAGCUUGAUCCAGUAAUACCAAGUGAGUGAUGAAGGCUAAUUUGGUUGUAAAGCUCUAUCGAUAAGGAGGAAAAAAGACAGUUACUUAAGUAAGUAAGCUCCGGCUAAUUUCCGUG
rnacentral:rRNA from 1 species